rnacentral:rRNA from 1 species
AUUGAACGCUGGCGGCAGGCCUAACACAUGCAAGUCGAGCGGAUGAAGGGAGCUUGCUCCUGGAUUCAGCGGCGGACGGGUGAGUAAUGCCUAGGAAUCUGCCUGGUAGUGGGGGAUAACGUCCGGAAACGGGCGCUAAUACCGCAUACGUCCUGAGGGAGAAAGUGGGGGAUCUUCGGACCUCACGCUAUCAGAUGAGCCUAGGUCGGAUUAGCUAGUUGGUGGGGUAAAGGCCUACCAAGGCGACGAUCCGUAACUGGUCUGAGAGGAUGAUCAGUCACACUGGAACUGAAACACGGUCCAGACUCCUACGGGAGGCAGCAGUGGGGAAUAUUGGACAAUGGGCGAAAGCCUGAUCCAGCCAUGCCGCGUGUGUGAAGAAGGUCUUCAGAUUGUAAAGCACUUUAAGUUGGGAGGAAGGGCAGUAAGUUAAUACCUUGCUGUUUUGACGUUACCAACAGAAUAAGCACCGGCUAACUUCGUG